rnacentral:rRNA from 1 species
AUUGAAUGCUGGCGGCAGGCUUAACACAUGCAAGUCGAGCGGAGAUGAGGUGCUUGCACCUUAUCUUAGCGGCGGACGGGUGAGUAAUGCUUAGGAAUCUGCCUAUUAGUGGGGGACAACAUUCCGAAAGGAAUGCUAAUACCGCAUACGUCCUACGGGAGAAAGCAGGGGAUCUUCGGACCUUGCGCUAAUAGAUGAGCCUAAGUCGGAUUGGCUAGUUGGUGGGGUAAAGGCCUACCAAGGCGACGAUCUGUAGCGGGUCUGAGAGGAUGCUCCGCCACACUCGGGCUGAGACACGGCCCGGACGCCGACGGGGGGCAGCAGUGGGGAAUAUUGGACAAUGGGGGGAACCCUGCUCCAGCCAUGCCGCGUGUGUGAAGAAGGCCUUAUGGUUGUAAAGCACUUUAAGCGAGGAGGAGGCUACUGAGACUAAUACUCUUGGAUAGUGGACGUUACUCGCAGAAUAAGCACCGGCUAACUCUGUGCCAGCCGCCGCCGUAA